rnacentral:rRNA from 1 species
UAGGGAAUCUUCCACAAUGGACGAAAGUCUGAUGGAGCAACGCCGCGUGAGUGAAGAAGGGUUUCGGCUCGUAAAACUCUGUUGUUAAAGAAGAACAUAUCUGAGAGUAACUGUUCUGGUAUUGACGGUAUUUAACCAGAAAGCCACGGCUAACUACGCGCCAG